rnacentral:rRNA from 1 species
GAUGAACGCUGGCGGCGUGCCUAAUACAUGCAAGUCGAGCGAACAGACGAGGAGCUUGCCCCUCUGACGUUAGCGGCGGACGGGUGAGUAACACGUGGAUAACCUACCUAUAAGACUGGGAUAACUUCGGGAAACCGGAGCUAAUACCGGAUAAUAUAUUGAACCGCAUGGUUCAAUAGUGAAAGACGGUUUUGCUGUCACUUAUAGAUGGAUCCGCGCCGCAUUAGCUAGUUGGUAAGGUAACGGCUUACCAAGGCAACGAUGCGUAGCCGACCUGAGAGGGUGAUCGGCCACACUGGAACUGAGACACGGUCCAGACUCCUACGGGAGGCAGCAGUAGGGAAUCUUCCGCAAUGGGCGAAAGCUUGACGGAGCAACGCCGAGUGAGUGAUGAAGGUCUUCGGAUCGUAAAACUCUGUUAUUAGGGAAGAACAAAUGUGUAAGUAACUAUGCACGUCUUGACGGUACCUAAUCAGAAAGCCACGGCUAACUACGUG